rnacentral:rRNA from 1 species
CGAGAAAGCCCGCAAGGGUGAGUAAAGCGGCGCACGGGUGCGUAACACGUGGAUAAUCUGCCCUGGAGUCCGGAACAACUCGCCGAAAGGCGAGCUAAUGCCGGAUGAGACCACGGGGGCUUCGGCCCCUGAGGGAAAAGGUGGCCUCUGUACACAAGCUAUCGCUUCAGGAUGAGUCCGCGGCCCAUCAGCUAGUUGGCGGGGUAAUGGCCCACCAAGGCGACGACGGGUAGCUGGUCUGAGAGGACGAUCAGCCACACUGGAACUGAGACACGGUCCAGACUCCUACGGGAGGCAGCAGUGGGGAAUCUUGCGCAAUGGGCGAAAGCCUGACGCAGCAACGCCGCGUGUGUGAUGAAGGUCUUCGGAUCGUAAAGCACUGUCGCGAGGGACG